UACGGGGGGGGGCAAGCGUUGCUCGGAAUUACUGGGCGUAAAGGGCUCGUAGGCGGCCAACUAAGUCAGACGUGAAAUCCCUCGGCUUAACCGGGGAACUGCAUCUGAUACUGGAUGGCUUGAGUUCGGGAGAGGGAUGCGGAAUUCCAGGUGUAGCGGUGAAAUGCGUAGAUAUCAGGAGGAACACCCAUGGCGAAGGCAGCAAACUGGUCCGUAUCUGACGCUGAGGCGCGAGAGCGUGGGGAGCAAACAGG
rnacentral:rRNA from 1 species